UACGUAGGGUGCAAGCGUUGUCCGGAAUUAUUGGGCGUAAAGAGCUCGUAGGCGGUUCGUCGCGUCGGCUGUGAAAACCUGAGGCUCAACCUCAGGCCUGCAGUCGAUACGGGCGGACUUGAGUACUGCAGGGGAGACUGGAAUUCCUGGUGUAGCGGUGAAAUGCGCAGAUAUCAGGAGGAACACCGGUGGCGAAGGCGGGUCUCUGGGCAGUGGCUGACGCUGAGGCGCGACAGCGUGGGGAGCAAACAGG
rnacentral:rRNA from 1 species